rnacentral:tmRNA from 1 species
GGGGCUGAUUUGGUUUCGACAGGGUGCGGAUGUCCUGUGUGCAUGCCGUGAGGGGUAAACGAUCACGUAAAUCAACGUAUACCAACUUAUAGUUGCCAAUGACGACAACUACGCACUAGCAGCCUAAACACCUGCCUAGCGCCCUUCCACCUGGCUUGCCUGUAGGCUGGGGUUCGGAGGGUCAUCCCAUACAGGAUCGCGUGUAAGCCCGGCCGGGGACCCAAGCGCUAAAACUAAUCCGGCACGCCCUGCGGAAUCCUGUCUGUCGGAGUCUUAAGGGUUACUUAAAAGACUGACUAAGCAUGUAGAUCAUAGGUUCGGAAACAUCGUGGACGCGGGUUCAAGUCCCGCCAGCUCCACCA